rnacentral:rRNA from 1 species
AUUGAACGCUGGCGGCAGGCCUAACACAUGCAAGUCGAACGAGUGGCGGACGGGUUGGUAAUGUCUGGGAAACUGCCUGGUGGAGGGGGAUAACUACUGGAAACGGUAGAUAAUACCGCAUACCAUCAGAUGUGCCCAGAUGGGAUUAGCUUGUUGGUGGGGUAACGGAUGACCAAGGCGACGAUCUCUACCUGGUCUGAGAGGAUGAACAGCCACACUGGAACUGAGACACGGUCCAGACUCCGACGGGAGGCAGCAGUGGGGAAUAUUGGACAAUGGGCGAAAGCCUGAUGCAGCCAUGCCGCGUGUAUGAAGAAGGCCUUCGGGUUGUAAAGUACUUUCAGCUGGGAGGCGUUACCCGCAGAAGAAGCACCGGCUAACUCCGUGCCAGCAGCCGCGGUAAUUC